rnacentral:lncRNA from 1 species
UGUGAAGUUCGAUCGAUGAUGUUCACACCAACGAUGCAUGCCUCAACCUGUCUCACAAUAUUAGAAGCUUCCAACUGGUAGCAUGGAAUUUAAUGUUGGGUGUGAAUAGACGGGGCAAGAUUUCUUGGUUGUAGAGGUGGCAACGUGUUUCAAAACAGUAUGAGCCUCAAGUUUAUUCCGAGCUCAACAAGUCGGUGCUUCCUCAUGAACAAUCUCUCCUUCCCCCAUGAGGAAAGCCAUGCACGUUCAUCAUAUGGGCUGUCCGCUAGAUAGCCUGCCUGCCAGGACGGAUAGAUGUGGAAGUCUGAACUUUUAUAAGUUAGCUGGUUGACACCCAAGUUUUGUAUGGGAAGUUUUACCACAACUUCUUUGCUUGUCUAGUUCUUUGAGGAUACAUUUGGUGAUGAAGUUUUCUAUUGGAAGAUUUACCAUAACUUCUUUGCUUGUCCAGUACUUUGAGGAUACAUUUGGUUUGCAUCACGAUCGGAAUGGAAUGGAAAUCUGAAUGGCCAUAUCUUUCAACAUGUUUGGUUCGUGACUGAAACCAACAUCGAAAUCAAAAUAAAAUUGAAAUUGUAAACAAAAUAAAAAUUAGAUUUUUGAGG